AGCGAACGUUGGCGGCAGGCCUAACACAUGCAAGUCGAACGAACUCUUCGGAGUUAGUGGCGGACGGGUGAGUAACACGUGGGAACGUGCCUUUUGGUUCGGAAUAACUCAGGGAAACUUGUGCUAAUACCGAAUGUGCCCUUCGGGGGAAAGAUUUAUCGCCAUUAGAGCGGCCCGCGUCUGAUUAGCUAGUUGGUGAGGUAACGGCUCACCAAGGCGACGAUCAGUAGCUGGUCUGAGAGGAUGACCAGCCACACUGGGACUGAGACACGGCCCAGACUCCUACGGGAGGCAGCAGUGGGGAAUCUUGCGCAAUGGGCGAAAGCCUGACGCAGCCAUGCCGCGUGAAUGAUGAAGGUCUUAGGAUUGUAAAAUUCUUUCACCGGGGACGAUAAUGACGGUACCCGGAGAAGAAGCCCCGGCUAACUUCGUG
rnacentral:rRNA from 1 species